GCUUCAAUACUAAAAAUCGGUUCUAGUGGGAAUCAGCCACUAGACGCAAGGGGGAAAGUCCGGUGCAAAUCCGGCGCUGUCCCGCAACUGUAAUGAAACAUUGGUUUCUAAGUCAGGAUGCCCGCCGAUAUUUGUUGACUGUU
rnacentral:ncRNA from 2 species